GGGCAUGGCGGGUCUAUAAUGCAGUCGAGCGGACAGAUGGGAGCUUGCUCCCUGAUGUUAGCGGCGGACGGGUGAGUAACACGUGGGUAACCUGCCUGUAAGACUGGGAUAACUCCGGGAAACCGGGGCUAAUACCGGAUGCUUGUUUGAACCGCAUGGUUCAAACAUAAAAGGUGGCUUCGGCUACCACUUACAGAUGGACCCGCGGCGCAUUAGCUAGUUGGUGAGGUAAUGGCUCACCAAGGCAACGAUGCGUAGCCGACCUGAGAGGGUGAUCGGCCACACUGGGACUGAGACACGGCCCAGACUCCUACGGGAGGCAGCAGUAGGGAAUCUUCCGCAAUGGACGAAAGUCUGACGGAGCAACGCCGCGUGAGUGAUGAAGGUUUUCGGAUCGUAAAGCUCUGUUGUUAGGGAAGAACAAGUACCGUUCGAAUAGGGCGGUACCUUGACGGUACCUAACCAGAAAGCCACGGCUAACUACGUGCCAGCAGCCGCGGUAAUACGUAGGUGGCAAGCGUUGUCCGGAAUUAUUGGGCGUAAAGGGCUCGCAGGCGGUUUCUUAAGUCUGAUGUGAAAGCCCCCGGCUCAACCGGGGAGGGUCAUUGGAAACUGGGGAACUUGAGUGCAGAAGAGGAGAGUGGAAUUCCACGUGUAGCGGUGAAAUGCGUAGAGAUGUGGAGGAACACCAGUGGCGAAGGCGACUCUCUGGUCUGUAACUGACGCUGAGGAGCGAAAGCGUGGGGAGCGAACAGGAUUAGAUACCCUGGUAGUCCACGCCGUAAACGAUGAGUGCUAAGUGUUAGGGGGUUUCCGCCCCUUAGUGCUGCAGCUAACGCAUUAAGCACUCCGCCUGGGGAGUACGGUCGCAAGACUGAAACUCAAAGGAAUUGACGGGGGGCCCGCACAAGCGGUGGAGCAUGUGGUUUAAUUCGAAGCAACGCGAAGAACCUUACCAGGUCUUGACAUCCUCUGACAAUCCUAGAGAUAGGACGUCCCCUUUCGGGGGCAGAGUGACAGGGUGGUGCAUGGUUUGUCGUUCAGCUCGUGUCGUGAGAUGUUGGGUUUAAGUCCCGCAACGAGCGCAACCCUUGAAUCUUAGUUGCAGCAUUUCAGCUGGGCACUCUAGUGACUGCCCGCUGACUACCGGCAGGAGCUGAGGAAUGAACGGUCCAAUCAAUCAUUGACCCCCGUUUAUAUUGA
rnacentral:rRNA from 1 species